GUAAACCAUAUGCUCACAUUGGACAAAUUAUAUGAUAGGAUGACAAGAUACUAUAUAUGAUUAAACUGAUCAAAUAUAGUUUUGAUAAAUAUUUAUAAAAAGUACUUAUUUAAGUUUUUGAUGAGAGACAAAAAACUUAUUUAAAUUGAAUAUUUGUAAGAAUUAAAUAAGUAAUAUCUUCAAUUAAAGUAUAAAAGCUAAUAAAACUGACUGGGAAAAAAUUUAUAAUUAAUUAUAUUUGGAUGAUUUUUUUUUUCUAUUGGGAAAGAGAAUGGAAUUUUAUAUUUGUUAAACACACCCAUAAACUAUACCUUAAGAAAAGAAAAUGAUGAUCCAAUUUCAGAUAACUGGAUAGACCAAAUUAAUGGGUCAGAAUGGUGUAUCUUAUCAGCAAUGUCCAUCAACAAUCCUGAAGGAAGAAAGGAGGUACAAUUCAAACAAAUAUGGCUAACAGUCAGUUUGAACCUCCCUCCUUAUAUUGAUGCCAUUGAUGGGCAGCACAAACCAGAACAUAGAAAAAGAUUCAACUUAGGAGUAAAAUCAAACUUUUCUCUUAUUCUUGCUCAUGUUUGUUUUAUUAUUUUAAUUCUUAUGAGUUUUUUGUUUGGUGUUCAGUGACUGCCAUUAUAUUUACUCUCUCUCUCAUUUGAAUAUCAAUUGAAGAAUUAACAGAAAUAAAAAUAUCACAGAAAGUAAAAAGUAUAUCUCUUGCUAGGAUGAUCAUGCAUAAAAUUCCUUCCUUUUAAUAAAAGGCAAAUUAAAUUCAUAUUUUUUUUUUAUUGGCUUUAGUUGAAUACAUUGAUAAUCAUUGUUAUUUUGUUAUACAAGCAUACCAUUUUUUACAGUAUGCUGCUUUAUAGUGCUUCUCUAAUAUGGCACUUUUCAAUUAUAUUCCAUGUUUUUAUUUUAUAUGUUAAAUGGAAAAUUAUCUGCAAUUAAAGACAAUAUAAAACUAUAUAUAGAUAU
rnacentral:lncRNA from 1 species